rnacentral:rRNA from 1 species
AACGUAGGAGACAAACGUUAUCCGGAGUUACUGGGCGUAAAGGGCGUGCAGGUGGUCUGUUAAGUCUGGCGUGAAAGCUCUCGGCUAAACCGGGAGAGGUCGUUGGAUACUGGCGGACUAGAGGACGGUAGAGGCGUGUGGAAUUCCGGGUGUAGUGGUGAAAUGCGUAGAGAUCCGGAGGAACACCAGUGGCGAAGGCGACACGCUGGGCCGUACCUGACACUAAAACGCGACAGCAUGGGGAGCGAACGAG